rnacentral:rRNA from 1 species
CCUGGGGAGUACGCUCGCAAGAGUAAAACUCAAAGGAAUUGACGGGGACCCGCACAAGCAGCGGAGCAUGUGGUUUAAUUCGAAGCAACGCGAAGAACCUUACCUAAACUUGACAUACCAAUGACAGCCUUUUAAUCGAGGACUUUUACCUUCGGGUAGACAAUGGAUACAGGUGGUGCAUGGUUGUCGUCAGCUCGUGUCGUGAGAUGUUGGGUUAAGUCCCGCAACGAGCGCAACCCUUGUCGAUAGUUACCAGCAGUAAGAUGGGGACUCUAUCGAGACAGCUAAGGACAACUUAGAGGAAGGUGGGGAUGACGUCAAAUCAUCAUGCCCCUUAUGUUUAGGGCUACACACGUGCUACAAUGGUCAUUACAGAGAGAAGCGAAACUGCGAAGUCAAGCAAACCUCAAAAAGAUGAUCCAAGUUCGGAUUGUAGGCUGAAACUCGCCUACAUGAAGUUGGAGUUGCUAGUAAUCGCGAAUCAGAAUGUCGCGGUGAAUGCGUUCCCGGGUCUUGUACACACCGCCCGUCAUACCAUGGGAGUUUGGGGGGCCCAAAGUCAGCGACUCAACCGCAAGGAGAGAGCUGCCCAAGGCAAAACAAAUGACUGGGGUGAAGUCGUAACAAGGUAGCCG